UUAUCUGCUUCUUUAUUGGACAACUCACUGACGACGUAACCCCGCUAAACUCGAACAUGAACAAAACCUCCGCUGCAUAUUUUAGCACCUUGACCAGAGAUUCAACCAGGCAUGGUAAUUGAACUGUAUUCUGCUUGUUUCUUUUGAAAGGCUACAUUUAACAGGUGACUUCUCUAUAGUGCGAAAUGGAUUAUCAACGCCAUAAUACCUCAUGUCCUUUGAGAAUACUUUGCCUUUUUAAUCUGGUAUCCUCUGUAUUGUUGUCCAACUGUCCUCAUAUCUGUGACCCAGGCUUCAUUAUUAACAAGUGUAAGUGUGUCCCUUGUCUCGAUGGCCACUACUGGUACACGCAGAACGGCCUUCCGAAGUGUGACCCCUGCAGCAAAGCCUGCUCAGUUGAUCAGCACUUGACACAGGUGAAGGAAUGCAGCCGGGACUCAAACCGUGAGUGCCACUGUGACAGCGGCUUUUUCUGUGACAUCGCUGCCCAGUAUACCUGCAGGAGGUGUAAGCCGUGCUCUCCCGGAACCUUCUCCAACAAACCAAACCUAACCAUGUCCUGCAAACCCCACACAGAUUGUGGCCAUAAGGGAAUGAUCAUGGUGACAGAGGGCACUGCCUCUCAGGAUCGUGUAUGUGCCCAGACCUCCCCUAACUCUCCUACAACCACUGCACCUCCAACUGUCCACAGCUCAGAGAUAGGCUUUCAUUCUUCUACCUCCAGUGGAGUCAGCACCACCCGAAAACCCCCCAUCAUAGCAUUCCCAUCUAGACUGGUGGGGUCUACAUCUCCUGAUGCCUUUCCCAAAGCCAUAAUUUACACAUCUGCAGACCCUUUACCAGCCUUACUCACCAGGCCUUCUUUGUCCCAAGCCCAGAGCGAGCCCUCUACCUCCCUCCCAACUAGGAAACAAGUCACUGAACACAGCUCCUUUGACCCCAACACAAAGCUUACCACCAGGAGAAACCCCAGCAAGGUGGACAGUAACACCUCACCUGCAGAGUCUGCCUCUACACCUCCUCUUACCACAGAAGACAACGACUCACCUUAUCUUUCAGCAACAGAUACUGGACCGAGCCCUCCCACUCUCCCUUGGCUGCUGCUGAUAGGUGGGCUACUAGGGGUUGUCGUGCUGCUGGUUGGUUACUUUGUCCGUUGUAGGGAGAGGUCACUGAAGUCCAUGGACAAGUGGAAAGGUCCAGUAUUUGGUAAAAAUGCCCAGCCACCACAGGAGAGUUGCCCACACCUGGAGGCCCAGCAUCUUCUGGGGAGGGAGACUGGGGGAAAUCCUAGACAGGAUGGUGCAGGGUUGCUACCUCCAGGGGUCAUGAAGCAGCUCACAGUGGACCACUCUGGAGGAGAGAACAUUAGCAACACAGUGGGGUCCAUUUACAUCUACUCUCCGGGGACGGUUGUCCUGGGAUACAACAAGUCGGAGAGGAAGGUGGAUCAAGUGGAGAGUGGAGUAGAGGGCUGUCCCCUCACCAGAACACCCCAGCAGGAGUCCUCCUGCCCCCUCCCUGAGGGCCCUGCUCUGGGGCCAGAGAGAAUGAGUACACAGGAGGAGACCUGCAAAGAGCUGAGAUACCCCAUCCCGGCCACCAGCAACUGGGAACUAGAAAAAAAAUGAAAUUGAGGAUUAACUAUGGAAAAAGCCUGAGGAGGAGCAACUUCAUUCAAUAUCAAAUAUCAUCUCUAGGGCAAGAAUGCAGACAGAAUAUUAUUUGCUACUGUAAAGACUGUUAGACUGGAUGGCUUCCUUCUGUACAAGGAUUGCAAAAGCCACUGGGGUCCCUCAGGGGUCUUCUAUUAUGAAUGAGUGACAGUUUGUUCCAACUGUAUGUAAUAGUCUUAGCACGGUUUCAAAUUCACUGUAAGUCACUGUUGUGACAGCAGUGCUGGGACAGUAUUUGAGAGCAAUGCAUGGUCUGUUUGAUAUGGGGUGUCGACACUGUGAGUCGGAGUUUCCCAUAAUUGGGUACAUGUACACAAUGGCGCCAGAUCGUGUGAGAGUCUAAGUGUAUCAACCACAGAAACAGUGAAGACAAGAAAUUCAUAUGAGGUGUGAAGUAACCUAUGUAACCAUGAUACAAGUAGGGUUUGGGGUGUGAAGAGCUUACAAUUUCCAUUGUAAAGUAAUACAGUAAUACCAUGUUCACGGGUUACAACCUUUGUUCUGUGAAUCUAUGAUCAAGACAUUGCUAUGCCAUAGCAUGAGCUGUUUUUUUUAUCCUUCAGAAAUUGUAGAACUGUUUCAAGCAAGUGUUUACCGACAAAAUACAAUUUACGAUGAUUUCUGUAUUAGUAUGGAGGAAUGAAAAAUGGUCUCUCUUUUAUAUAGUAGUAGUGCUGAAAAUGUUGACUCAACAUUUUGUGAUUAACAUACCAAAUUUGGCACAGAUGUAGAUGUACAGUGCCUUUGAAAAGUAUUCAGACCCCUUGAUUUUUUCCCACUUUUUGUUACGUUACAGCCUCACUCUAAAACAGAUGAUCUAAAAAAAAAUCCUCAGCACUCUACACACAAUACCCCAUAAUGACAAAGCGAAAACAGGUUUUUAGACAUUUUUGCAAAUGUAGGGGUUAUUCGGCUGUCCGCAUAGGAGAACCCUUUUUGGUUCCAUGUAGAACCCUUUACCCUCGACAUGGAACCUGGAACCAAAAAGGUGUUUUACCGGGAACCAAAAAGGUGUUUUGGUUCCAGGUACUCUGGAACCAAAAAGGUGUUUUACCUGGAACCAAAAAGGUGUUUUACCUGGAUCCAAAAAGGGUUCUUCAAAGGGUUCUCCUAUGGGGACAGCCAAAGAACCCCUAUAAAUGUGUUAAAACAUUUUUUAUAUUUGUAUAGUGUUGUGUUACAAAGGGUUAAUGAAAGAAAGUGUUACUGCUUGACACUGCCUCUUUGCAAUCAUUACCGGUUUGGGUACAGUACGUGGACGACUUGAGGAAAUUGACUGAAAGGUUACUGCAGUGCAAAGACGCCCUCAGUUUCCUUAGCUGGUCAGCAGUUCAAGGAAACGCGCGCUUUUGUUUCAGGUUGUAAUUCGAGUGUUUUUCUGUAGGCUACCUAUACGGUUUCAGUAUGGACUUUUUCGCAAGAUCUUAAAGGGUCAAUAAUAGUUCAAUCAAUCAUGAUACUAAGGACCGUAAGUGGCGUUCUUACAGUGAGGAUUUUUCUAGCAAUCAUGGUGCAGCCUGUUGAGAACAUGGUAAGUGUCCUUCAGACGUGAAUGUUGUGUGACGCGACCAUGACAACGAGAAACAGGUCCGUGUAACUGGUGCAGCCUGACCAAUGUUUAGCUAAAUGGGAUACUCUUUGCAGUGUUGUAUGAUCAUCAGAUCAGAUCAUCAGUCUGAUUUUAAAUAGCGAAUCAUUAAUCAUUGAUUGUUAACAAUUAUCUAGGUCAAUGAAUUGUGUGUGUGCGAGAGAAUGUUGUGUUGUCUUGGAUUUUUCAACUUAAUUUGUCAAGGUAUUGUGACAUAGAAUAUAUGUUUAAAAUACAUAGGAUUUGAAAAAAAAGUCAACAUAAACUGUUGUUUUCAGAGUGAAAUUUAAGGAUUAUGUUAUCGUUGUGACCAAUUUUCAACAUAGAGAAACCUUAUGAAAUAUGUUGAAUUUGUACCUUUGAAACCACGUCAGAUCUUCAACAUUAUAUCCACUAUCAGAAAAAACCAAAGUCUAGGCAGCAUCUACUAGUGGAGAGUUGUCUAACAGGUGUUAAUUUGGUCUCCCAUCCAUGGUUUUAACCAAGCCCAGCACUGCUUAGCUUUGUUGUUUGUUGCUGACUACUACAUGUACCAAUGUCAUAUCAUGAGAAUAAGUAUUGAGAGAUCUCUUAAUAACGAAAUAUAUUCACUGUUGCUGUCGAAGUCAUUCCAAAAGGUUGGUUUAACAGAGCAAAUGAAAUGUAACCAUACUUUAUGUCAUAUCAUCAAUGAUACUAUUUAGGCCUAUACAGAAUUUGCAAAGUCAACAACAUUGUUGUUGUCUAUUAAUGUUGUGUAUUAUGUCAUGUUUCAUGUUUUGUGUGGACACCAGGAAGAGUAGCUACUGCUGUUGCAACAACUAAUGUGGAUCCUAAUAAAAUACCCCAAAAUACCAAAAAAUAGCAAUUGUUUCAAUUCAACCCAAGGUUCAACUAAAAAUAGACAAUACAUAUCGGCCUAGGUUUUCAAACUUUGGUUGAUUUCAAAUGUAAUCUUCAAGUUAUUCAUUCAUUUGUUGAAUUCACAUCUCCAUUUCAACCUAAAAUCUAAGUUAAAGAAUAGGAAUAUAUCAAACUGGAUUUAAAGUUUGAAUAUAUUACAUUUAGUCCUAUUGUUUAACUUACAUUUUUGUUUGACAUAGAGAUCUAACAUAUAAAUUAUUAAUUUGUAGACAAACUGGAUUUUUAUUUCUUUUAUUUUUUAUUUCACCUUUAUUUAACCAGGUAGGCAAGUUGAGAAGAAGUUCUCAUUUACAAUUACGACCUGGCCAAGAUAAAGCAAAGCAGUUUGACACAUACAACAACACAGAGUUACACAUGGAGUAAAACAAACCUACAGUCAAUAAUAUAGUAGAAAAAUAAGUCUAUAUACAAAGUGAGCAAAUGAGGUGAGAUAAGGGAGGUAAAGGCAAAAAAAGGCCAUGGUGGCGAAGUAAAUACAAUAUAGCAAGUAAAACACUGGAAUGGUAGAUUUGCAGUGGAAGAAAGUGCAAAGUAGAAAUAGAAAUAACAGGGUGCAAAGGAGCAAAAUAAAUACAGUAGGGGAAGAGGUAGUUGUUUGGGCUAAAUUAUAGAUGGGCUAUGUACAGGUGCAGUAAUCUGUGAGCUGCUCUGACAGCUGGUGCUUAAAGCUAGUGAGGGAGAUAAGUGUUUCCAGUUUUAGAGAUUUUUGUAGUUCGUUCCAGUCAUUGGCAGCAGAGAACUGGAAGGAGAGGCAGCCGAUGGAGGAAUUGGCUUUGGGGGUGACCAGAGAGAUAUACCUGCUGGAGCGCGGGCUACAGGUGGGUGCUGCUAUGGUGACCAGCAAGCUGAGAUAAGGGGGAACUUUACCUAGCAGGGUCUUGUAGAUGACCUGGAGCCAGUGGGUUUGGCGACGAGUAUGAAGCGAGGUCCAGCCAACAAGAGCGUACAGGUCGCAGUGGUGGGUAGUAUAUGGGGCUUUGGUGACAAAACGGAUGGCACUGUGAUAGACUGCAUCCAGUUUGUUGAGUAGGGUAUUGGAGGCUAUUUUGUAAAUGACGUCGCCGAAGUCGAGGAUUGGUAGGAUGGUCAGUUUUACGAGGGUAUGUUUGGCAGCAUGAGUGAAAGAUGCUUUGUUGCGAAACAGGAAGCCAAUUCUAGAUUUAACUUUGGAUUGGAGAUGCUUAAUGUGAGUCUGGAAGGAGAGUUUACAGUCUAACCAGACACCUAGGUAUUUGUAGUUGUCCACAUAUUUUAAGUCAGAACCGCCCAGAGUAGUGAUGAUGGACGGGUGGGCAGGUGCAGGCAGCGAUCGGUUGAAGAGCAUGCAUUUAGUUUUACUUGUAUUUAAGAGCAGUUGGAGGCCACGGAAGGAGAGUUGUAUGGCAUUGAAGCUCGUCUGGAGGGUAGUUAACACAGUGUCCAAAGAAGGGCCAGAUGUAUACAGAAUGGUGUCGUCUGCGUAGAGGUGGAUCAGAGACUCACCAGCAGCAAGAGCAACAUCAUUGAUGUAUACAGAGAAAAGAGUCAGCCCAAGAAUUGAACCCUGUGGCAUCCCCAUAGAGACUGCCAGAGGCCCGGACAACAGGCCCUCCGAUUUGACACACUGAACUCUAUCAGAGAAGUAGUUGGUGAACCAGGCAAGGAAAUCAUUUGAGAAACCAUGGCUAUUGAGUCUACCGAUGAGGAUGUGGUGAUUGACAGAGUCGAAAGCCUUGGCCAGGUCAAUGAAUACGACUGCACAGUAUUGUUUCUUAUCGAUGGCGGUUAAGAUAUCAUUUAGGAUAGUAAAUUGUGUUUGGUUGUCAACACAACCAAAUAUCAGAUGUAUCUUCUGCUUGGAUAGUUCAAUCUGUGCCAUUGACUUAAUUCGGCUUUAAUUCCAGUUUGUCUACAAAUUAAUAAUUCAUAUGUUGGAUUCACGUCUCCAUCUCAACCAAAACUCAAAGUUAAAGAAUAGGAUUAAAUCAGAUCAAAUCAAACUUUAAAUGCACUUUAAAUCAUGUUUGAUCUUGGUUGAGAUGAAGACGUGAAUCCAACAUAUGAAUUAUUAAUUUGUAGACAAACUGGAAUCAAAGCCAGACUAAGUCAGUGGCACAAAAGAGACUUAUCAUUCAAAUGUUGAUAUUUGGUUUUGUUGAGAACCAAACACAAUGCAAUAUCCCUUUAGCAAUACAGUAAAUAUCCUAUUAACUUGAAACAGAUAUAGGAUCUUAAUUUGAUCACUAUUUUCAAAUCAAAUUGUAUUAGUCACGAAUACAACAGGUCUAGACCUUACAGUGAAAUGCUUACUUACGAGCCCUUAACCAACAGUGCAGUUAAAAAAUAUAUGGAUAAGAAUAAGAGAUAAAAUUAACAAGUAAUUAAAGAGCAGCUGUAAAAAAUAACAAUAUAUACAGGGGUGCCGGUAUAGAGUCAAUGUGCGGGGGCACCGGUUAGUUGAGGUAGUAUGUACAUGUAGGUAGAGUUAUUAAAGUGACUAUGCAUAGAUGACAACAGAGAGUGGCAGUGGUGUGGAGAGGGGAGGGAGGGCAAUGUGAAUAGUCUGGGUAGCCAUUUGACUAGAUGUUCAGGAGUCUUAUGGCUUGGGGGUAGAAGCUGUUUAGAAGCCUCUUGGACCUAGACUUGGUGCUCCGGUACCGCUUGCCAUGUGGUAGCACAGAGAACAGUCUAUGACCAUACCAGGCAGUGAUACAACCAGUCAGGAUGCCCUCGAUAGUGCAGCUGUAGAACCUUUUGAGGAUCUGAGGAUUCCCCCUCAGUCUCCUGAGGGGGAAUAGGUUUUGUCAUGCCUGCUUCACGACUGUCUUGGUGUGCUUGGACCAUGUUAGUUUGUUGGUGAUGUGGACACCAAGGAACUUGAAGCUCUCAACCUGCUCCACUACAGCCCCUGUAGUCCACAAUCAUCUCCUUUGUCUUGAUCACGUUGAGGGAGAGGUUGUUGUCCUGGCACCACACGGCCAGGUCUCUGACCUCCUCCCUAUAGGCUGUCUUGUUGUUGUCGGUGAUCAGGCCUCUACCACUGUUGUGUCAUCGGCAAAUUUAAUGAUGGUGUUGGAGUCGUGCCUGGCCGUGCAGUCAUGAGUGAACAGGGAGUACAGGAUGGGGCUGAGCACGCACCCCUGAGGGGCCCCUGUGUUGAGGAUCAGCGUGGCGGAUGUGUUGUUACCUACCCUUACCACCUGAGGGCGGCCCGUCAGGAAGUCCAGGAUCCAGUUGCGGAGGGAGGUGUUUAGUCCCAGAGUCCUUAGCUUAUUGAUGAGCUUUGAGGGCACUAUGGUGUUGAACGCUAAGCUGUAGUCAAAGAAUAGCAUUCUCACAUAGGUGUUCCUUUUGUCCAGGUGGGAAAGGGCAGUGUGGAGUGCAGUAGAAAUUGCAUCAUCUGUGGAUCUGUUGGGGCGUUAUGCAAAUUGGAGUGGGUCUAGUGUUUCUGGGAUGAUGGUGUUGAUGUGAGCCAUGACCAGCCUUUCAAAGCACUUCAUUGCUACAGACGUGAGUACUACGGGUCGGUAGUCAUUUAGGCUGAGAAUUCUCCUGCACGGCAGGAAAUGCGAACGUCUAAUGUAUUCGAUCUUUAAAAAGGCUUCUAAAGUUUGUCAUUUACACUUUAAAAUGUCCGAAUUGUCCUAACGAAAACAUUUUUUUCAUUAAUUAUAAUCCACAUAAUAAUUCACAUUUCCUCUUGCUGCAGGAUCCUGCUGUAGCAAACAGGCUCAAAAUAAGAUCCUACGCCUGUAUGUUGGAUUCACAUCUCUAACUAAAUAGAAUAGGUGAAUAGGAUUAAGCCAGUGGCUCAGAUGAAACUAUCCCCGCAUUAGAUAUCCAUUAAACGAUGUCCACCAAACACAAUUCAAAAUUACUUUUGUAAUACACGAAAUAGCCUAAAGUUAAGGCAAUCUUAUAAACUAGGUCUAACAGUAUUUAUUCAAACUUAAAAUGUGUAACACAUCCUUUGCCACAUUUGGAGGUUAGCCCACUGUAGCCUAACUAUAAAUUUCCUCUUAUGUCCUCAUAGGAAGUGUGUAUGUUCAAGAUAGCAGGGCAAAGGUCGCAGGUCUGCCAAGUUCCUCUAAUAAUCUGUGCAGAAUCUCGAACAGCUGUGAUCAUUUGUACUUUUAAUGUAGCCUAAUCUCAACUGCAAUCCAGGUCAUUUGGUUGUGCUAAUAACACAUUAAAUGAUUGUAUAAUAACAAAAUAUCGGACAUUGUUUUCCCUUUUGAACUUUGUUGUGCUUUUAAAUUUUGCCCAGUUGGUUGUUUCUUAUUAGUAGGGCACCAGGACAGGGGGUUGAAUAAAGUAUGUCAACCUGUCACAAGAAGAAUCAGGAUGCUUCUGAAAGUAUACAGAAGACAAUGGCAUGCUAUGUAAACCAUGGCAAAGGGGCUAUGCACCAAAUUUGGCACAGCACCAGAUGUAAUGAUCUUCUAUAGCCUAUCAAUACCACUCAUACUAGCCUAUGACUUAUAAAUGAUUUGUAUGGUAUUUUUUUUGUAGCACCUUCACUUCCUCCAAUGUUUGAAAGAUAUCUGUAUUGGUUUCGGGAUGACAUGAUUUCAAAUUGGAUAACCUAUGGUCUGUAUAGUAUGCUUGCAGCGUUGAUAUUUUGUUUUUUCAGCAAUGGAUUAUUUGUUUGUUUGGAAAAAAUAUAUUGCACAGAGCACCUAGGUGCAAAAGCGUUUCAUUCAUUAUUAAUUUCACCAUCAAAAGAAACGGAUGUUUUUGUAAAGCUCAAUAUUUCAUUUUCAGGCUUAACUCGAGUGUUCCACAAAACUAAACACAUCAAAUCAGGAAAACUCCUGAUUCAGUUUUCUGAUUUGAUAUGUUUGUUUUGGAUGGCUGCCAUAAAUGAAAAGGAAAUGCCUGUCAGAAGAGACAUUCUGUCCAUUGUAGAGAGGACGAUAGUGAGAGGCCUUGGCAGCGACAUAUCUUUGGUAUUCAGACGUCAUAGCCAGUCCUUGACAACUUAUUGGAAAUCUCUCCGAUCUCCUCAACCACUUCCUGUCAAACAGAGACAGACAGAUUGUUUAAAAAAAAAAAAAGUUUUACUGUCUGUAUAUUGUGUCUUGUGUCUACUGGCAAACAAUUACUAUACCACAAAUGUGUUAGUGUAUAUUCCCCAGUCCCCAACAGAUAGAAUAGGUCUUCUUUUUUUGCUGACACAAUACCCAACCCUCAGGUUCUACACUUAGAAAAAAAGGUGCUAUCUAGAACCUAAAACGGUUAUUCGGCUGCCCCCAUAGGAGAACCCUUUGAAGAACCCUUCUUGGUUUCAGGUAGAACCCUUUUGGGUUCCAUGUUAAAACCUUUCCAUGGAACCCAAAAGAGCUCUACCUGGAACCAAAAAGGGUUCUCCUAUGGGGAUAGCCGAAUAACCCUUUUGGAACCCUUUCUUCUAAGAGUGUACUAGCGGUUUAAAUAGAAGGCUCUUGGUGGGGCAUGUUACUCAUCACUCCUUCUCCUGAUCAGGUGCACUUCAUGGUCCCCUCGUCCCUACAGGUGUACACUCUGCCAUACGCACCAGACUCUGACGGAUCCUGCCACAACAAAACAGCUGAAUACUAUAACGCAGAGGUAAACCUCUGCUGCAGCAAGUGUACUUCUGGGACACGCCGGAAAGAUCUAUGCAGCUCUACCUCAGACACGGCGUGUGAACCAUGUCCUAGAGGCCAGUACAGUGGGACCUUUAAUUACUUCGCAAAAUGCUUCAGAUGUCCCAAGUGUUCAGCAGACAAAGGCCUGAAGUAUGUCCAGAAGUGCUCCAGCACCACCAAGACUCAGUGUGCGUGCCAGACUGGGAUGUACUGCGUACUGAACCAACACCCGGACUGUGAGGAGUGUGCAAAUUUGACAUACUGCAAGCCUGGUUAUGGGGUCUCUGUAGAAGGUACCAUAGCUGGACAGGAGGCUGGGACAGCAGAGUCGGAUGUGGAAUGUGCAUCAUGCCCCGAUGGAACCUUCUCUGACCAGUACUCCUACACCCAGAUCUGCCAGCACCACACAGAUUGUCUGUCUCAGGGGAGGGACGUACUGACUUACGGUACAGCCACCACCGAUGCGGUGUGUGGACCGAAGGUAAACGGACGACUGGUCUCCAUCCUCCAAACCACCACACCUCCAAGCCCACCGACCACAAUGCCACCCUCUGGUAAAGGGCAUACCACAUCAAGUCUACAGAGCAUGGAUACGUCUACAGUUCCAACCACCCGAGGCUCAAAGCUGACAUCUAGUCCCUCUGAUCCACGGGUCAUCGCUCCAACGGAAGAAAAAUCACCAGGCAUUAACCUCUGGAUAGUUGCAGGUGCUAUCGGAGGUGCUAUGUUCCUGCUGCUGAUCGUAGGCACUGUCAUUUACAAGAAAGCCUUCACAAACUUCAUACGUGUAUCUUCUACAGAAGAUAUAAAUGGAAAUUCUGAGAAGGAGGCCAUUAAAUGUCUGCUGGGGAAAGGAGACUGCAGUAAUGUCGGUCAGGCAGAGACCCAGCAGGAUGCUAUUAAGACCUGGUCAGGCUCAGGGUGCUCCAACAGCCUGGAUGGCUUGUCAAUAAGCCCCGUCCAGUCCACCAUUCCACAGCCCAGCAUCCUGGCCAGCACCCCCCCAGCCCAGCCCCCAAUCCACCAGCCCCCUGGCAUCUGUACCCCUAGUUAAUGUCAACAUCACUGUUACCUACCCUGUGAACAUAGGAAAUGAGUUAUGCUCCAGACCUACCAGCACCCAGAUAGACUCACCACAAGCUGACCCCGAGGCCCCUUUAUCAAGGGAGGAGGAGGUGUAUGUGAACAUGCCACAGCGAGAGGGUUGCAAAGAGGCACUUACGGCAGUACAGGAGUUUGGAAAUGAUGUAUGAGGACUGGAGGCAUAUAGGGGAGGGUUAGACAAUAGAUUGUGUUUUAGUGAUGCUUUUUUUUACUGUAACUGUUGUCUCUGUUGUUAUGUGGUUGCUACUUGAAGUACUGGUGGUGACUUUGUGUUGGUAGAGAGAGACCGAAUGACUGUUCAUGUGCCUCAGGUAGGAUUUCCCAAACUUUGCACGUUUUGCAUAAGUUAUACCCAGGGAGGGUCCCAGGACCGAGUUUUGGAAACCCUGAUAUAACGUGCUGUCUGUGCUGGAAAGUCUUGAACACCUGAUUUAGAUUGUCAGCGACUGUUUGAAGGAUUAUUGAUAAGUGAAUUAUGUGGUGCAUGUGAAUGUUGUUGUAAGGAUACUGUAAAUGUUACACGGCUCAAGGUAUCCCAAAAUCUUUUAUCAUAAGUAGGCAAUAUGGGUUUAUUUUCUCUUGUGUUUGUGGGUGGUUGUUCCAUGUAUAGUCAUUGUACUGUUCAGGACUGGUUUUCGUCGUUCUUUUGUUCAGUGUUCUUUUCUUUAAUAAAUCAAGAAGAUGAUUCACAUCCCCGCUGCAGUUUGGUCCGAUCAUUAUGAUGCUUAUGACACUGCGCCACAUGAG
rnacentral:lncRNA from 1 species